rnacentral:lncRNA from 1 species
UUUUUUUUUUAAAGAUUUAUUUAUUUAUUAUAUGUAAGUACACUGUAGCUGUCUUCAGACACUCCAGAAGAGGGAGUCAGAUCUCGUUAUGGAUGGUUGUGAGCCACCAUGUGGUUGCUGAGAUUUGAACUCCUGACCUUCGGAAGAACAGUCGGGUGCUCUUACCCGCUGAGCCAUCUCACCAGCCCCUCAGAUAUCAUCUUAAGAAGACGGAUCCUAGGUGUUUCUUCCUUUGAGGACCCAUGAGAUGGUUUUAUUAUUUUAAGAUACCUAAUUAAAGUCACACUGUCACUGUGUUUCUUCACUCCUGAGUGGGAGAACAGCCUUCGUUACCUUGUUUUGUUUGUGCCAUAAUUCUUGAAAGUGGAACUCUGGGCUGAGUGAGGUUAGGUUCCUUAGUGGGAGGCUGGAGCACCAGCUUCAGCCUGAGGGGCACAUCUCCAUCUUUACCAUCUUCACUGGCCUCACCCUUCCCAGAAUCCUCUCCUGCUCGCAGUCCUAGUACGCCACAGACGUAUACUUUACCCGAGCCCCUCACUGACAUGUAAGGUCUGUGUUCCUCUUGGGCCUUUUAAGGUGCCAUGCCUUAUAGACAGACUCCUUUCUUCCCUCCCUGACUCUUGGCAGCCAGUGGGUCACCUAGCCAACUUGACCUGUGGUUGCCAUUUCUCAGACGAGAAAGGUGCCUGUCCUAUGGUCAGCCCAGAACAGUGCCGGAGAAGGCGAGAUGGUGGCCAUUGUUUUUAAGAUGAUGAACCAGGCUUUUCGGAGGACCUACAGCUACUCACGGGAAAGCUGAGGAAAUGCCCCUUAAACAAAGGCAACUUUGUUUCCACUGAGAGUAACAUGUAACUAUGUUAACUCCAGGGACCACCCUUUGGAUGCAGUAUUGUGGGGUUUGAUGUAUUGGUAUGGGACAGAGGACAAGGGACAGAGCCAGCUGUCUAAGAAGAGAACCAUGUGCCCUCACUCGGCCUGACCCACUACCUUCCACUGCUUCUAAAUAUAGGUUGAAAUAAAGCCAAUCUAUCCCCAGAGUGAAAAUUUUCUCUCCGUUGUAGUGGGGAAAGAAUUACAGCAGGUGUUUAUUCUGCAGUUGGGAAACAGGAGCAAAAAAAUAGCCAAAGAACAGCUCAUGUGGGUAUUUGCUAAAAGGUUCAUUUAAAGGUGGUGAGUUAACAGAACCCUGGCAAGUCGGGAGGGUGAUUUGAAUAUUUUCUGGACCUGAAAGGAAAUGUGUUUUCCCUUUGCAAAUGCCACAAUUAGCAACAAUUAGCCCCAACCAUUGAUACAAAAAUAAUCACUGACAAAGAACGUCAUCUCUAGGGCAAACAGAAUCUAAAGCCUUGAACAUGAGUCUUUAGGACUCCUUAGGGACUUGACUGGCAUCACCCUGUACCAGCUGAGUGCCAAGAAAACAGGCUUUGGCCUUCUGUGUACACCCCAGGUACAGAAGCAGAAGGCAGGAGCUCUGAGAGUCUGAGGCAUUGUGAUUUCAGACCUGGAUGUGGGAAGGCAGACACUAGAAAGGCUGACAGGAAUCCAGAAAUGAGGGCUUUGUGGAGCCUUCAGGAGUCUGACCUGGAAGACGUUGGCCUGAGGGAGUGAGGCUGGCAGGUAUGGUGGGAGGGAGGCAGAAGAGACCUGUCAAGCUGGUGAUGGCGUGCUCAGAGUGGGCAGAUUCAGUGAAACCCCCUUUUGAUUUAAUUUUUCCCAUCCUGAGCUUUCUGGGCCAGGCGUUGUCUUUUUCCACUUGUUUGGCGAUGGUCACGAAGGAGGGAAGAAAUUUAUUCCUGUGACCCCGAGAGCUGCAUGAAGGAGCCAGAAAGUGCAUGAAGGAGAAUUGCCUCCUGAGAAGACAAAAGCCAGAGCUCCUUGUGGUAAUUUAGAUUUCCACGAAGUUAAUUGAAGUGUUAGGCCUGUGGACUUAAUGUGAAGGAGCAGACAGAGGUGCCAAUCAGGUUGGGGUUGUUCUCUAGACCUUAGAGAUUGCCAGAGGAAAGUGGACGCUGAAAGGAUACGAACUGAGCUCUUUCCCUUCAAGCUGUUUAGUCCUGAGUCCUACUGGCUUCCGGUUAAGAGUCUGUAGUGUAAAUGACAGGAAGAGGUGGUGUGCUCUGGGCUGGUGAGUGUGCAUUCACCAGAGGGGUGUGUCAGUCAUUGGUUAGUACAUCCUGGGACCCUCUGACUGGAAGCUGUGUAGCCCUGGGCCUCACGUCACACUGGCAUUGGCUUAGGGAACACCUCGUUUUCUGAAUAACUGUUCCUGACAAAAAGUGUUAAGUGAUGUUGUGGUUGACUCAAGCCCCGCUGUUUGAAGCCUCAGUGCAGCUCACCAGGAAGCUCACCUGCUCAGGAGCUGGAAUGGAAGAGGCCUGGGAGCCAGGAGUUUCAGGCCAGUUGGAGCAACAGAGAAAGACCCUAUCUCCUUUUCUGCAUGCUCCCCCAAUGCAAAUCAUCAUAUGUCUUGUGAAUUCUCUGUUGAGUUAAAGGCCAUCAUUGAGGCUGGUGAGUUGGCUUGCUGUACAAGCCUGGACAUCUAAGUUAAAUUCCUGGAACCUGUGUGGUGGUCAGAGUGUCCCCAGCCAACCCCAUAGGGCCACAUGUUUGAAUACUUGGUCUCAGCAGUUCUUGGAACUGUUUGGGAAGGAUUAGGAGGUGUGGCCUUUCUGGAGGAGGUGUGUCACUGGGCCUGGGCUGUGAGGUUUUAGGAAUCUGGAGUAAGGUUUCCUAGUAUGCCUCCUGCUUGUGGAUCAAGAUGUGAGCUCUCCCCUGUUCCCGCCUCUGUGCCUUUGCGCUGCUGUCAUGGACUCUAACCCUAUGAAACCAUAAGCCUGAAUAAACGCUUUCUUCUAUAAGUUGCCUUGGUCAUGGCGAUUUAUCACAGCAACAGAACGGUAAGACAGCACAUAAAUGUGGGAGGAAAGAGCCAUUUCUGCAGAGUUGUCCUCCUCUCUCCAUGUGUGUACCUCAGCAACCCCAGCAUCCUAUGCACAUAUGCAUGAUAAUAAUAAGUACAAUAAAAAAUUAUUAGUGCAAAGAAAAUCAUGUUACCUAUUUCCUUUAUUGGUUAUCUUUGUUGUUCAUAUUGAUUGGUAGAUUAAUAUUUAAAAUGAAAAUAUUCAGCCUGGGUAGUGAGCUGCAGGUAAAGUGGUUGGUGCACAAGUGUGGGGGUAUGGAGCCCAGCUACCAGCCAGUCUUGCUGAACCAGUGAAGAACCCUAUCUCAAAAAAUUAAUAGAGCAUGAGAAAGACAUCUGUUUGUCAUCAGCCUCUGGACUCUAUGUGUAUGUAUGUACAAUCAUAUAUACCUGUGCAUGAACACACACUGGCACAUACACAAAG